rnacentral:rRNA from 1 species
UACUGGGGGAGCAAGCGUUGUUCGGAUUUACUGGGCGUAAAGGGCGCGUAGGCGGCGCAACAAGUCACUUGUGAAAUCUCCGGGCUUAACCCGGAGCGGCCAAGUGAUACUGUCGUGCUAGAGUGCGGAAGGGGCUACUGGAAUUCUCGGUGUAGCGGUGAAAUGCGUAGAUAUCGAGAGGAACAUCUGCGGCGAAGGCGGGUAGCUGGGCCGACACUGACGCUGAGGCGCGAAAGCCAGGGGAGCGAACGGG